rnacentral:rRNA from 1 species
GAUGAACGCUGGCGGCGUGCCUAAUACAUGCAAGUCGAGCGAACGGACGAGAAGCUUGCUUCUCUGAUGUUAGCGGCGGACGGGUGAGUAACACGUGGAUAACCUACCUAUAAGACUGGGAUAACUUCGGGAAACCGGAGCUAAUACCGGAUAAUAUUUUGAACCGCAUGGUUCAAAAGUGAAAGACGGUCUUGCUGUCACUUAUAGAUGGAUCCGCGCUGCAUUAGCUAGUUGGUAAGGUAACGGCUUACCAAGGCAACGAUGCAUAGCCGACCUGAGAGGGUGAUCGGCCACACUGGAACUGAGACACGGUCCAGACUCCUACGGGAGGCAGCAGUAGGGAAUCUUCCGCAAUGGGCGAAAGCCUGACGGAGCAACGCCGCGUGAGUGAUGAAGGUCUUCGGAUCGUAAAACUCUGUUAUUAGGGAAGAACAUAUGUGUAAGUAACUGUGCACAUCUUGACGGUACCUAAUCAGAAAGCCACGGCUAACUACGUGCCAGCAGCCGCGGUAAUACGUAGGUGGCAAGCGUUAUCCGGAAUUAUUGGGCGUAAAGCGCGCGUAGGCGGUUUUUUAAGUCUGAUGUGAAAGCCCACGGCUCAACCGUGGAGGGUCAUUGGAAACUGGAAAACUUGAGUGCAGAAGAGGAAAGUGGAAUUCCAUGUGUAGCGGUGAAAUGCGCAGAGAUAUGGAGGAACACCAGUGGCGAAGGCGACUUUCUGGUCCGUAACUGACGCUGAUGUGCGAAAGCGUGGGGAUCAAACAGGAUUAGAUACCCUGGUAGUCCACGCCGUAAACGAUGAGUGCUAAGUGUUAGGGGGUUUCCGCCCCUUAGUGCUGCAGCUAACGCAUUAAGCACUCCGCCUGGGGAGUACGACCGCAAGGUUGAAACUCAAAGGAAUUGACGGGGACCCGCACAAGCGGUGGAGCAUGUGGUUUAAUUCGAAGCAACGCGAAGAACCUUACCAAAUCUUGACAUCCUUUGACAACUCUAGAGAUAGAGCUUUCCCCUUCGGGGGACAAAGUGACAGGUGGUGCAUGGUUGUCGUCAGCUCGUGUCGUGAGAUGUUGGGUUAAGUCCCGCAACGAGCGCAACCCUUAAGCUUAGUUGCCAUCAUUAAGUUGGGCACUCUAGGUUGACUGCCGGUGACAAACCGGAGGAAGGUGGGGAUGACGUCAAAUCAUCAUGCCCCUUAUGAUUUGGGCUACACACGUGCUACAAUGGACAAUACAAAGGGCAGCGAAACCGCGAGGUCAAGCAAAUCCCAUAAAGUUGUUCUCAGUUCGGAUUGUAGUCUGCAACUCGACUACAUGAAGCUGGAAUCGCUAGUAAUCGUAGAUCAGCAUGCUACGGUGAAUACGUUCCCGGGUCU